GACGAACGCUGGCGGCAUGCCUAAUACAUGCAAGUCGAACGAUGAUAUCACUGCUUGCAAUGAUUGAUUAGUGGCGAACGGGUGAGUAACACGUGAGGAACUUGCCCAUGAGCGGGGGACAACAUUCGGAAACGGAUGCUAAUACCCCAUAGGUGGAUUGGUCGCAUGACGAAUUCAUUAAAGGUGGCUUUGCUACCACUCAUGGAUAGCCUCGCGGCGUAUUAGCUAGUUGGUAAGGUAAUGGCUUACCAAGGCAGUGAUACGUAGCCGACUUGAGAGGGUGAUCGGCCACACUGGGACUGAGACACGGCCCAGACUCCUACGGGAGGCAGCAGUAGGGAAUCUUCCACAAUGGGUGCAAACCUGAUGGAGCAAUGCCGCGUGAGUGAAGAAGGUCUUCGGAUCGUAAAGCUCUGUUGUUAGAGAAGAACACGUGCUAGGUAACUACUAGCACCUUGACGGUAUCUAACCAGAAAGUCACGGCUAACUACGUGCCAGCCGCCGCCGUAACAC
rnacentral:rRNA from 1 species